GAGAGUUUAAUAUACAUAAAUACAAAUGUAUAAUGUGUUUAGAAAUUUUAAAACAACACUAAAGAUCAUAGGCUUCAAUGUAUAGAGCAUUUAUAGAAAAACUCAAUAUUUUACACAAAUAUAACUAAUGCAAGUUUAUGUUUAUAUGCUUAGGUCAAUGAAUCAUGCACUUUUAUAUUAUUUUGACUAUAAUCUCAGAAAAUUAUUUGAAAUAUUUUCUUUAGAAAAAUAUAAUUAACACAAGUUUAUGUUUUUUAUGUAGAUUGAUAUGCUUAGGUAAAUGAAUCAUGCACUUUUAUAUUAUUUUGACUAUAAUCUCAGAAAAUUAAUUGAAAGAUUUUCUUACAAAAAUAUAAUUAAUGCAAGUUUAUGUUUUUUAUGUAGAUUGAUAUGCUUAGGUAAAUGAAUCAUGCACUUUUAUAUUAUUUUGACUAUAAUCUCAUAAAAUUAAUUGAAAGAUUUCCUUACAAAAAUAUAAUUAAUGCAAGUUUAUGUUUAUAUGCUUAGGUAAAUGAAUCAUGCACUUUUAUAUUAUUUUGACUAUAAUCUCAGAAAAUUAAUUGAAAGAUUUUCUUUACAAAAAUAUAAUUAAUGCAAGUUUAUGUUUAUAUGUAUAUAUAUAUCAAUCUAAAAUAUAAUAGAACUCUCAAACAAUUUAUAAAACAUCCUACAAAAUGAGUCUCUCCAAAAAAAAUAUAUUAAUCGCAUUUGUUUUCACUCUUUUCUUCGCGAUGUCAAUUGUCCGCUGCACCGAUAUUGUUUCAGAUUUCGGAGUAAAGUAUAAUGUGUGCUAUGGUCCAUGUGACGACAAAGGAGUGUGUACGCCGUUUUGUUCUUCCAAAAAAGGUCU